rnacentral:lncRNA from 1 species
AAAAGGACAGGGUCACAGAGAUCUUAUACAAUCAAGACAGACAUGAGGAAUGUGAGCAAGAAAUAAUUUAAUCACUGUUUCUCAAAAUAUGGGAACUUGAGUCAGCCAGUGGAAUUAUUGGAUUUAAAACUGAAUUAACUACUUUUUUACACAAUGUGCUAUUAUGCUGUGAGUUCACUCCUCAUCCAACUUUAUGAGGGGUAGAAGUGUACGUGGGCUGUGAAUGUGAUCAUGUACAUUUGUUUAUAAAGAAUAGGUGAGCUGCAGACUUAAAACCCUUCUGGUUUGAAUAUGGAUUCAGAAGGCCAGACAUGACUACUGGAAGGAUAUAUGUGGACGUUUUUUUCUUUAAGCAAUUGCCCCAGAUCUUCAGUUGAUGACUUUUGGAGAGACAGCUUAGACUCAGCAGAACAAUGCGGCACUCAGUUCUUGUGCCCUCUGGAUCUUUCUGCUGCUCAGACCGGCACAGUCCUUGAAUAGACCUCUGGCCACUGCUGGUGUGGUCCCACAGCAGAGAAUAAGCUGUAGAGCCAGACCUGCCUGCCAAAAGAGAAGGUGAUUGCAUGGGGGAACAGAUUACCCAGAGCAGAUGUGGAUUCUACAGCCCAGUUUUUUCAAAAUCCUGAGAAACCUGAUCUGAAUUCAACGUUAACCCUGCUUUGUGGACAAGACUGGGUGAAAUGACCUCCUGAGGUUCCUUCCAACCU